GUGCCCUAUGAAGCUUACGUGAAAUUCAUGUACCAAAGCAUGUUCAUUUUGACAGCUGUAUGUUGUGUUCAUUGUCUAGAUAGAUAGAUAGAUAUCAUACCUGUGAAACAAGAUGGUGCCUACAGAAAAAAACUUUCAACAACCGCUAGACAAUUUCAAUAUUGGGACUCAUUUUGGAAAGUUUAUGAUCCAUGAAACGGAUCAAAUCCGCUCAUCAAUGGAAUAAACGGAACCAAAACACUAUUCUAUUCCGCGAAGGCGAGAUGAACCUGGGAUUAUAAAUUAUAAUGGCAAAGGUGCAGCUCUGGACUACCAACACAUUCAUGGCCAAACAAAACCAACUUGCGCUCCUCAAAACAACUCACGAUACAACAAAUAAAAGAAUCAACUAUAUAUGCAAUAAAAAACGCUUCAGCAAUGAUUAAUUUGAAUUAUUUGAACAUAAUUAAGUGUUCACAUAUGAUGGAAAUCAACUCGAAACAACGUAAUAUAUUUCUCAUUACUUGGUACAACGCACUCGAUUUUCAUCUACGUUCUACAAAUGCAUUCUAUCAACCGUACCAAAAAAACACGUAACAACUACCGAUCACGUCGAUGGAAUGAAUGAAGUUCAUCAAUUCAUGAGUUCAUUCAUCUUCACCUUCGAUUCACGUAAGUGCUACGUGAAAAGUGCGAUGGAAAAAAAACUACGUAUGUUUUCACGUAGCCUUGACGUGUGGAUUGUUUUG